rnacentral:tRNA from 1 species
GGUAGCUCAGCUGGAUAGAGCAAUGGCCUUCUAAGCCAUCGGUCGGGGGUUCGAAUCUCUCC